AGCGACUUCCUGUCCGUGGGCUGAGAGGAGGGUGAUCAUGGGCCUGGGCCGCAGAACAGUGGCUCGGAGGGCGCAGGCUGCCCGGCCUCCGCCCCCUGCAAGCUGAGGGCUGUCCGCGCUGUCUUUCCGACGGCCCCACCCCCGGCUCUCUGAGCUCCGCGAGGUGAAGUCAUCUCCCGGGGGCUCGGGAGUGGCCGCGGGCCUCGCGGAGGUUCCCGGAUCUCGGCGUCGUUGCCGCGGUGUCCUUGUCUUUCUUUUGGGGACCAGGAGGGGGUUCUUGGGGGAAGGAGGGGAGAGCGGAGGCCGCCAUCUUGCUUCUAGAGGGUCAGCUCAUGUUCCCUGGGCGUCUCAGGGUUGAGGCCGCUCGUGUGGCGUGGCCGGGGGUAUUCAGAGCGGAGCUGGCGACGUGGCUUGUCACGGGCCAAAUCCCAGGAGGCGGGUCAGCCGCCUACCCUGGCUGGAGGGUCUCGUGGCUGCCCUGGGCCUCAUCUAACUGCUGAUCCCCUGGAGAAUUCGCUUUCUCGGACGGUCUGCGAGUUCUUUCUGAGGGGUGUCGGACCCCCCUGCGACUCUGCAGGUGUCGGUGUGGCACUGAGAUCAUCUUGCGGCCCCAUGGCACUGUGAUUUGGUAGCUUGUGAGAAGUAGUUUCACUAAAUCCGUAAAUUUAAGUUAGCAGCUACAGAUUCUUAUGUCUUGACAUUUAUUCGCUUAUCUCUCUUUGCUCCCCACAAAUUGAGUACCAACUAUAUUCCUGGUAUGAGCCAUUCAAGGAAUGUCCAGUCUAGUGGGCAGACAUACAUGAAAGCAAAUCAUUGCUAUUGGAAGUAUGGUUUAUCAAGAUGUACAGCGUGAAGAAUGGAUAGCUUUACUAACGUAGGUUAGAGUUUUAAAGAUAAAUAGGCAUUUUCUACUACAAAAAUAGGGGUGGGAUGGCAAAUCCGGAUCCGAACAGAAAGGAGAUGCAGCACGGGGACAAAUAAUUUGUUGAGAAGAAUGAGUAAUAAUUACAGGUCUUGAAGUUCAAACUUAGGUUGCUGAAGAAGAUGAGGCUGGAGAAGAAAACAGGAGCCAAAUCACGAAUCGUCUAUGCCUUGGUGAGGCAAUGAGUGGACAGAUUACAAUUUAAGCUAUUCUUCUGUUGGUAGAGAACAGAUAACUUGGGGGGGUGGAGGUGGGGGGGCAGAGAAGGAUAAGCAGAGAGCCCACAAGGGGGCCAUUGCAGAAGCCAGUAAGAGAAAACUUAAGGACCCUGUGUGAAUGGUAGUGAGCAUCCAAAGGAGAUGGAUUCCUAAAAUAUUCAAGAGGCCAUAUCAACUGGUAAUUGGUUGCUAGGGGCAGCUGCCAGAUAGGAGAAUGGAAGAGGCAAUGAUGAUGCCUUGUUUUGCUUUGAGGGAGGGGCAGGAUAAGGGUGUAUUUUACUAAAUAAGAUAAGGAAGAGUUAGGAUGAGUCCUGGGAGGGGACAUUUUUGCAGAAAAAAAAUGAGUUCAGUUUUGGAGUUGAUGAGUGAAGUAAGAGUGGUGCUGUCUAAUGGUGGUUGCUAUAUGGGUCUAGAGCUCUAGGGAGGAGCUGGGCUGAAGUUGGAAACACCACAGGUUUAGAUGACCAUAACCAAGCUGACUGCAGUCUUACGUCAUUGAGCACAGUUUCAAAACCACUUCUCCUUUCUCCCUGCCUUUACUUGGGAAAAUUACUGAAAUACUGCAUUAAAAAACCCAAUAUGGUGAUAUGUGUCCAUCCAUAGACCAAUAUUCUAAUGUUUAAUGGUCUUCUAAGGACCCUAAAGGUCAGGUUUAGCAGAAACUGGAUGUAACAGUGGUAACUAUUAAUAGUAUAGCAUCAUUAACUCAUAAAAUGAAAUAUUAUCUAUGUUUAUAUUUUAAUAUUUUAAUUUUUUUCUUUUUUAUUCUGUAGGAAUUGCUCCAUUCCAAUAAAAAUAUUUUAAAUUUAAUCAUUGACAACAGUUAAGCUGGCCAUAGGCUGAGGAUUGAGGAUGGUGGGUUGCACAAAUAUCUGCUGAAUGGAGAGCUAGAAGGAGGAUGACUUCAAGAAGAGUCAGCAAUAGGAACGCAAUGAAAGACAACCUCAAAUUCAUUAGUCAGCCUGUCUCAGCUGCUUUUUGGUGGCUCACAGCUAUGCUAACCUAGCAUAAAGCAGUGAGAAAUAGAAUACUUCAUUUUGAGCAGAGCUUCAGAAAACCACAAAUAGUAAAAGCCCUAUAAAUAAUAGCUACAGCUGCAAACCAAAGACUAAUUAUUAGUUUUUAACUCUAUAUCCCUGUAGAGCAGCAUUUUUGAACACACAAAAAAAGAGAAACGCGUUCACUUACGUCUUAGAUUAUUUAAAUACAGUAUUCUCAAUUUGUCUAGGAUAAAAAAGCAUUUAGGUGUAUUGAACAACCAUAUAAUGGAUAAUAUACUGAACAGGAAAUGAGAAUAAUUAGCUUGAGUCCCUUUUUUGUCAGUUGUUCACCGUAUGACCCUAGCAAUGUUACUUAACCUCUCUAUGCCCUAGUUUCUCUGACUGUAAAAUAGAGAUAAUAAUAACUUUCUAUCAGCCGCCUCUCAAAGAUAUUAUAGGAAAUAACAAAUUAAUGCUAUGAAAGCUCUUUGAGGUACUUGGAUGAAAGGGCAUAAUUGUAAGUACAUAUUAUUAGUAAUUAGCACUAAUAUCCAGUAGCACCCAUGAGCAUUCCUGACUUUGCUGCCUGGAUUACUCAAAGAACAUGAAGGAUCCUGUUUUGAAAUACACUUAGAUCUUUUUUCUUAACUUGUGAAUUGACUUUACUAUUUAUGAUCAAACCUUGUGUAUUAACAAAUAUAGUUAAUGAAAGAGGGAAGUAAAAAGAAGUUUUGGUAACCACAACUUUUAUAUUCAUGCUACUCAUAGCUAAUAUAUGCUUUGGGGGAAAAUACAGGGUAGAUAGGGAUUUGCCAGAAGCAUGUUUUAGAAUUAAUGAUUAGUCUACUCCAGUCAGUUAACUGGAAUUUUGUAUUAAAAACAUUAUUCAUGUCCCCAUAGAAUAAUGCAGUCCCUAUAGAAUUUAUAGACAGUUACAUGUUUGACACAAUUAAGUUGAACAUUCCUGUGAAACUCUGUCAUUCUCAUCACUGUUUAAUCACAAACAUGUAAUGAAAUAUAUAGACUUGUGAAGUUUUGUCCAAUGUCUAUCCCUAAAGUAGAUGAGAAUUUUUUCCAUUAAAUUGGUGACUUCAGUAUUUCCUUUAGAGAGGUGUAUGCAUAAUGUAAACAUUUAAAUGUAUUCAUGACUACAUAAUGUGCAUGUUUAUUUUUAUACACUUGCUUAUAUACCAAUUUAUAAAAUUAUCAUAUAAUGUAUAUUAACUAUACAUCUGGGAACAGCAAUGACAAACAAGGCUUCUUUGUGUUUUAGGGCCAGAUAAGAAAGUAAUUGGUUAAUAGCCAUUUGUCACCACUGGUGAAAAAUCAACUCAAAAUCAUGUUUUAUUAUUUAUUAGAGUUAUGAGCAUUAUCUAUAAGAUUCAUGACACCAUGACUUGGUGUGGUGGCUCACACCUGUAAUCCCAGCAUUUUGGGAGGCCGAGGCAUGUGGAUCGCUUGAAUACAGGAGUUAAAGACUAGCUUGGACAGCAUAGGGAGCCCUCAUCUCUAUUAAAAAAAAAAAUUAAAAAAAAACAACACUAGGCAGGCAUAGUGGCAUUCACCUGUGGUCCCAGUUACUCAGUAGGCUGAGGUGGAUCCCUUGAACCCAGGAGGUCGAGGCUACAGUGCCUGUGAUCAUUACACUGUACUGCAGCCUGGGCAACAAAAUGAAACCCUGUCUCAAAAAAGAAAAAAAAUUCCGUGACACCUUGACAUUUGUACUAUUUCAUUUUGUUUUCACAAUUUUGUGAGAUACAAAUUGUUGAAAGAAAUAGGCUCAGAGUGCUGAAAGACUAGCGCUCUGAGACUAGUUUUUAAAGACUUAAAAAUUCACUACAGUUGUCAAGUAACAUACCCAAACACACAUUUUGAGAUUCUCAAAAUAUAUUGUUUCUUUUAGUACUUUAUACCAGGGUCACCAGCUUGAUAUGACAGUCCAGAAUGUAUUUAUAAUAUGGACAUUUCUGGCUUAUUAUUGAUUGCCUGCAGCAUCUCCAAAAUUCAGCCAAACUUAACGUUUUUAAAACUGAAAACUACAAUUCUUAUGUUUAUGGCUGUAUCUUUACCAGCUUGAAGACAGGUACAUUGUUUUAUUCAUUUUUGUAUCCUUCAUGGUGCCCAAAAUAAGUACUCAGAAACUUUUUUAGGAGGUCGUACACAUUUUCAGCACAUUCAUGUGAAGAUAGUUUAUUUGGGUUUGUACUUUAAAUUGGUGGAACCAUUGCCUCAAUUUCCCACUUCAUUUUUAAUGACGUCAUGCCUUGGAGAGAUAGGCUUAAGUAGGUGAUGCAGAUGACAGUCACCUGUAUGAUAUGCCUCUGGAUAUGUUUGUUGGGCUUAGAUAGUCCGGAUGACCCACAACAAAAGGGUCAUCUAGAAUAUCUAAACACAGCUUUAAUGAGAAUGUGUAAAGAGUGGGGUUAUGAGAGUUUGGGUCUUCAUAAUUCUCCCCUUCAUGCCGACGACCCUUGUGGACCACAUAUUUCUAUACUUUUCUGUCAAGGGAUUAGAGGAUAAGACUACUCUAUCAGUGGUUCCCAAAUGUGACUGCUUAUCACAAUCACCUGUGUAGUUUCAAAGGCAAUUCAGAUUCUCAAGUCCCACUCUAAACAGAAAAUAUUUAGAUUUAGGAUUAGAAAAUACUGGGUGAAGUCCAAGGCAUCUGUAACUGUAAUAACACUCUCCCUUGAAUUCCAAUGAUCAGUCAGGUUUGGGAAGUUCUGGUUUCAAUAACUUGUUCAAGGUCACACAGAACCCUAAAUAGAGCCAGAAACUAACUCAAAUCUUUUGAGUCCAAGUUAAAUAUAUUUUCAUUGGACUCCUGCUGUCCAUUUACUGACAAUAUAUGAUGGGGUAGGAUGAAGAGGUGGGGAGAAAAGUAGCAAUUUUAGUUUUUUCAUUUUUAUUUUUUACCAUAUUCUAUGACAUGGUUUUAAGAUUAAAUGAGCUAACAUCCAUAGAGUGCUUAGAACAGUAUCUGGCACAUGGUAAUUAGGUGUAACGGUUCAACGAAUAAGUCUCCAUUGUCCAGUCAUGGCAUUCACUUUGCCUGGGGUUACAUUAGGUAACAUUUUAUUGGAUAUCGACUUUUUCUAUGAAGAAAAAAAUGUAUGUAAAUAAAGGUGGAAUCUUUAGCCUUUAUUUGUCAUGGAAGCCCUGAAUUUGUAUAGCUGAAAAUAUUUCUAUAUUGUUUCUUUUCAUCUUUUCUGAUAUAUUAAGAAAAUGUUAAUGAUAUACUUAUUAAAUAAAAUUGUGGAUGUAUAGCUGUGUAGUAUUUUUAUAUUAUCUAAUUUAGCAUAUAAGAUAAGGUAUUUUACAUUGUCUUCCUAUCACUGAACUAGCUCCAAAAUUGAUUCUUAUUGGUAUGUAAUUAAGCAUUUAGUUUUUAGAAGUUAUUGUUUGGAUUGAUCUUCCAGAUGAAAUAUUUCCCCUUAACGAGGUAAUAGAUAUACGUGGC
rnacentral:lncRNA from 1 species